rnacentral:rRNA from 1 species
UACGUAGGGGGCAAGCGUUGUCCGGAAUUAUUGGGCGUAAAGAGCGUGUAGGCGGUCCGGUAAGUCGGCUGUGAAAGUCCAGGGCUCAACCCUGGGAUGCCGGUCGAUACUGCCGGACUAGAGUUCGGAAGAGGCGAGUGGAAUUCCCGGCGUAGCGGUGAAAUGCGCAGAUAUCGGGAGGAACACCUAUGGCGAAGGCAGCUCGCUGGGACGUUACUGACGCUGAGACGCGAAAGCGUGGGGAGCAAACAGG